rnacentral:lncRNA from 1 species
UUCAUUUCACAGAAGAAAAUAAGUACAACAAAUGGGGAGGGAAUGAACCCAUCCACACAAUAGUUUCAAGUCUCUCUAAAGCUAGUUUUGCUAGAGAGUGGGCUAAAACAUUACAAGAUCUAUGAGUAUAAUGAACACUUAUAGAGUCAAAGUUUUUCAACAUACUUUGCACCUCUGAAAUAAUCCAGUAUAUCUCAUAUCUGCAGCCUUGGUUGUUGUUUACCAGCUUAACAACUUCUUG